rnacentral:rRNA from 1 species
CCGAACUUUCUCUCUAAUCUACUUCUUGUGGAUUACGAGGUGUUGCUCCUUAUUGGAGUCAAAGAAAUGGAACAGCACACGUUAAUAACUCUGUGCAGUAAUAUUUUUUAUGGCCCCCAAUCAAGCAAGAUUACCCGCCGAACUUAAGCAUAUCAAUAAGCGGAGGAAAAGAAACCAACAGGGAUUGCCCUAGUAACGGCGAGUGAACAGGCAAGAGCUCAGAUUUGAAAGCCUUUUUGGCAUUGUAUUCUGAAGUCAGUUUCCUGAGUAUCGGUGUUUAAGUCUUCUGGAAAGGAGCGCCAUGGAGGGUGAUAGCCCCGUACGGCACCUCACUCAUUGUAGGAUUCUGACGUGGAGUCGAGUUGUUUGGGAAUGCAGCUCAAAAGGGUGGUAUGCUCCAUCUAAAGCUAAAUAUCUGUGAGAGACCGAUAGCGAACAAGUACUGUGAAGGAAAGAUGAAAAGAACUUUGAAAAGAGAGUGAAAAAGUACGUGAAAUUGUUGAAAUGGAAGGAUAUGCCGCUAACAAUGUAGAGCCGUGUUUGGGGGGAAGACAAAAGCUGAAGAAUGUAUCUCUUUUAGGGAAUUAUAACUUCAGUCAAUAUUCCCAUCCGGGCGCGAGGACCUCAGGCUCUACUAAAUGGUGGUCUAUCACCCGUCUUGAAACACGGACCAAGGAGUCUAUUGCCUGCGCGAGUAUUUGGGUGGCAAACCCAUAUGCGAAGUGAAAGCGAGUGGUUCCAACCUUCGGGGGCAGAAUCAGCCGACCGUUCAUAGGAGCGGAUUGAGUGGAGCGCAAGUGAUGGGACCCGAAAGAUGGUGAACUAUGCCUGAAUAGGGUGAAGCCAGAGGAAACUCUGGUGGAGGCUCGCAG